GAGCAAGGGCGUCAAUUUUUACGAUGACGAUUCUCUUGCAUUGAAGGUUGGCGAUAGAAAUCGUUACAGCGAUUCUCCGUGCCUUUCAGAUAUUCGGUUCCCGUUUUGAUUACGGCCUCGAACAAGUCGCUACAUU